CAGCAGCCGCGGUAAUACGAAGGGUGCAAGCGUUAAUCGGAAUUACUGGGCGUAAAGCGUGCGCAGGCGGUUAUAUAAGACAGAUGUGAAAUCCCCGGGCUCAACCUGGGAACUGCAUUUGUGACUGUAUAGCUAGAGUACGGCAGAGGGGGAUGGAAUUCCGCGUGUAGCAGUGAAAUGCGUAGAUAUGCGGAGGAACACCGAUGGCGAAGGCAAUCCCCUGGGCCUGUACUGACGCUCAUGCACGAAAGCGUGGGGAGCAAACAGGAUUAGAUACCCCUGUAGUCCCUGUCUCUUAUAU
rnacentral:rRNA from 1 species